UUGCUAAAAAAGUAUUUAUUGUGUAUUUCUUUCUAAGCAGACUACACCCUGUAAUGCAGAAUCAACCUGAGUCUCUCAUUCCUGGAGCGGUUUAUUAACAGUCAAGAUCCAGGACCAGAAUCAGAGUGAACAGGAACUCUCCUGCAGUCCUCCUGAACCUCCAUUGGUGACGUCUGUGGGGUGAUGUAACUGAGAUCCUGGUGUUUCUCUUCUGGUUGGCGAGCGGAGUAUCCUACAGGAUGAUCUCACGAGUGUUUGGAUCUCUCGUUCCACUGUCCACUGCAUCAUCCACAGUCACUGAGGAGGUGGUGGCCAUUUGCCAUAAGGACCUUCACCUUCCAAAAACCCCUGAGGACCUGGAGGUGGAAUCCCGUGGGUUUGCAGGGCUUGCACAGCACAGAAUUUUUCCUCAAAGCUGCAGGUGCCAUCGAUGGAUGCCACAUCAGGAUCAAACCUCCUGGUGACCCUGGCAUCAUUCCAAAAGCGCCCUCGAUUAUAGAGCGUGCUUUGGAAUGAUGAAGACAAGAUUCAGAGGCAUCUUCCUGCAAGUGCUGGAGGUUGUCUCAGCUUGGGCCAUCCUCCACAAUAUCUGCACCUGUGCUGACGACACAGAGGCCCCAGAGGAUGAUGUGGAGGUGAUGAUGAGGAGGAAGCUGGUUUGAAGGUCACCAGUGGUGCUCUCUGGCAGGACCAACUACCUGCUGAGGUUUCUGCUCUGCGGGAGGUACCACCUGACCUUGAUUACUUUUAACAGCAUCCGUCCACAGCCAAUCCUGUAAACCCUGAAGAUGGACGAUGCAGUCUACAGUGAAGAUGGAUCCUGAAACUCUGCAGACCAUCCUGCAAGAUGUUCCAAUCACCACCCAGAAAGUUCCAUCCCCGCGUCUCAGUUGAAGCAUCUCAUCCAUGUCGACCAUCUUUGUAAAUAGUGUUACAAUGAAUGACGAUUACUGUGUUGGAUUUAUACCUUUAUUUAUAUUAAAAAAGCAAACAUUUUAAU